ACAGAAGCUGUGGAAGGCGCCAUCCUGCCUGCCACAGGAAGGGCCUUGGACUGAGAGGACCGGAGCUGACUGGGGAUUAUUCAAAGCCAAAAGCCAACAGAGCCCCCAUGGAGAAGUGGAGGAUGCUCAGAUACUGCUAUGGAGCCCUGAGAAGUGAAAUGGGUCCAAGCCCUUGCCCAGGAUAGAGCGCUCCAAGCGCAUCCUCCGGGGACCCUUUUAAUCAGUGAAUUGUUCACCUCUCACUGUUUCUUCCCAGCAGAGCUAAGAGACUUCUAGAGCCUCUUGUGGAUGGUCAGCGAUAGCCCUGAAGAUUGAACAUUUGAGCAAGACCAGAUGCCUUUAUAUCCAAUAGAUGCCACGGAGAGUAGAUCACAACACAUCUAACUGCUGUAUCCCCAUAUAAAAUAAUUUUAAUUUUCCUAGACUGCA
ensembl:lncRNA MIR122HG MIR122 host gene